rnacentral:sRNA from 1 species
AAACCAGCUCUAGGCGGCUCUGGGUAGGUUGUCGUUCUGUGAGCUGCGGAACGCAGACUUCGGCUGGACGUGCUUGCGGUGACACCUGCUCCUCUCUGAGAGCUUCAGGUUCUCCGGCCUGCCUUCACUGGUUUGUGUCCAGAGCUGGACUGAUUCUCUCAAUUUGCGGUUUCACCAUGUUGGUCAGGCUGGUCUCAAACUCCUGACUUCAGGUAAUCCACCUGCCUCGGCCUCCCAAAGUGCUGGGAUUACAGGAGUGAGCCACCAUGCCCAGCCCCAGAUCUGUUUUUUUGAAGUUCACAUCAGGGUCUCACUCUGCAUGCUGGAGAGCAAUGGCAUGAUCACGCCUCACUGCAGCCUCGACCUCCUGGGCUCAGGUGAUCCCUCCCACCUCAGCUUCCCAAGUCGCUGGGACUACAGGAUCUUCAGCCUGUUAAACAAGAAAACGAAAAACCCCUUCCAGAAAACAUGGAUGCAUUUGAAAAAGUGAGAACAAAAUUAGAAACACAGCC